rnacentral:snRNA from 1 species
GUGCUUGCCUCCGCAGCACAUAGACUAAGAUUGGAACGGUAUAGAGAAGAUUAGCGUGGCCCCGUGACACGCAAAUUCGUGAAGCGUUCCGUAUUUCG